rnacentral:rRNA from 1 species
UUUUAAAUUGAGAGUUUGAUCCUGGCUCAGGACGAACGCUGGCGGCGUGCCUAACACAUGCAAGUCGAGCGAUGAAACUUCCUUCGGGAAGUGGAUUAGCGGCGGACGGGUUAGGAAACAGUGG